CCCUUAGAUGUUCUGGGCUGCACGCGCGCUACACUGAUGCACUCAACGAGUUUACGACCUUGCCCGAUAGGGUUGGGUAAUCUUUUUAAAAUGCAUCGUGAUGGGGAUAGAUUAUUGCAAUUAUUAAUUUUCAACGAGGAAUUCCUAGUAAGCGCGAGUCAUCAGCUCGUGCUGAUUACGUCCCUGCCCUUUGUACACACCGCCCGUCGCUCCUACCGAUUGAGUGCUCAGGUGAAUAAUUCGGACUGCAGCAAUGUUUGGAUCCCGAACGUUGCAGCGGAAAGUUUAGUGAACCUUAUCACUUAGAGGAAGGAGAAGUCGUAACA
rnacentral:rRNA from 1 species